AUCCGCAUCUCCAUUGGCAGCCUGAGCCGGUUGCGCAACAAGUGCGCUGUGUCCAAGGACCUCACCCAGCAGGAGAUACGGACCCUGGAGCCCUCUCAUCUUGUGGGUGAGGAAACCGAAGGCCUGAGGGAGAACUGACUUGCCUGGAACCCCUGUUAAGGAGAAUUAACAAAGUGUGGUUAUUAAAGGAGCACUGAGUUGGGAGUGAGACCUGGAGGCCCACACCCUUGGUUAAGACAUAAUACCACCUUGAGUCUGGCCUGUUGACUGAGG
rnacentral:lncRNA from 10 species